rnacentral:rRNA from 1 species
CCUACGGGUGGCAGCAGUGAGGAAUAUUGGUCAAUGGGCGCGAGCCUGAACCAGCCAAGUCGCGUGAGGGAUGAAGGUUCUAUGGAUCGUAAACCUCUUUUAUAAGGGAAUAAAGUGUGGGACGUGUCCUAUUUUGGAUGUACCUUAUGAAUAAGGAUCGGCUAACUCCGUGCCAGCAGCCGCGGUAAUACGGAGGAUCCGAGCGUUAUCCGGAUUUAUUGGGUUUAAAGGGUGCGUAGGCGGUCUUUUAAGUCAGCGGUGAAAGUCUGUGGCUCAACCAUAGCAUUGCCGUUGAAACUGGGGGGCUAGAGUAUGUUUGAGGCAGGCGGAAUGCGUGGUGUAGCGGUGAAAUGCUUAGAUAUCACGCAGAACCCCGAUUGCGAAGGCAGCCUGCCGGGCCAUGACUGACGCUGAGGCACGAAAGCGUGGGGAUCAAACAGGAUUAGAUACCCCAGUAGUC